AGUUUCCUGGAAUGUACGCCAGCUGGUGUCGUCCUUGAGCCGUUAGAGAAACUAAAGGAGACUGUGGCGUUGCAACGGUGUGCAUGUCCGACUCCGCACCAUUGAUGCGGGUUGGGAAGCCUUAGUCGUGACCCAGGUCCCCGCCUUGAACCAUAACGGUUCAGGGCAAACCAUGCAGCGGCAUUUCGGGAGACUA
rnacentral:other from 1 species